GCCUUCGUGGUGUACUCGCCAGCACAUAGGGUGCGUAUUCGAGAAGUCCGGGUUCGAAUCCCGGCGGGGGCA
rnacentral:tRNA from 1 species